CGCGUAGGCGGACAUUCAAGUCAGGGGUGAAAUCCCCCAGCUCAACUGGGGAACUGCCUUUGAUACUGGGUGUCUUGAGUAAGGUAGGGGCAUGCGGAACUGAUGGUGGAGCGGUGAAAUGUGUUGAUAUCAUCAGGAACUCCGGUGGCGAAGGCGGCAUGCUGGACCUUCACUGACGCUGAGGCGCGAAAGCCAGGGGAGCGAACG
rnacentral:rRNA from 1 species